rnacentral:rRNA from 1 species
CGCCAACCUGAUGCAGCGACGCCGCGUGAGGGGAUGACGGCCUUCGGGUUGUAAACCUCUUUCAUUAGGGAAGAAGCGUAAGUGACUGUACCUGCAGAAGAAGCGCCGGCUAACUACCUGCCAGCAGCCGCUGUAAUACUUACGGCGCACGCGUUAUCCGGAAUUAUUGGGCGUAAAUAGCUCGUAAGCGGUUUGUCACGUCUGCCGUGAAAGUCCUGGGCUCAAAUCCGGAUCUGCGGUGGGUACGGGCAGACUAGAGUGAUGUAGGGGAAAAUGGAAUUCCUGGUGUAGCGGUGAAAUGCGCAGAUAUCACGAGGAACACCGAUGGCAAAGGCAGGUCUCUGGGCAUUAACUGACACUGAGGAGCGAAAGCAUGGGGAGCGAACAGGAUUAGAUACCCUGGUAGUCCAUGCCGUAAACGUUGGGCACUAGGUGUGGGGGACAUUCCACGUUUUCCGCGCCGCUAGCUAACGCAUUAAGUGCCCCGCCUGGGGAGUACGGCCGCAAGGCUAAAACUCAAAGGAAUUGACGGGAACUC